AUACGGAGGGUGCAAGCGUUAAUCGGAAUUACUGGGCGUAAAGCGUACGUAGGCGGUUAUUUAAGUCAGAUGUGAAAGCCCCGGGCUUAACUUGGGAACUGCAUUUGAAACUGGGUAACUAGAGUUUAGUAGAGGGGAGUGGAAUUUCAGGUGUAGCGGUGAAAUGCGUAGAGAUCUGAAGGAACACCAGUGGCGAAGGCGACUCCCUGGACUAAAACUGACGCUGAGGUACGAAAGCGUGGGCAGCAAACAGGAUUAGAAACCCCGGUAGUCC
rnacentral:rRNA from 1 species